UAUGAUGGACCCACUGGAGUUCCCCGACUCCAUGCACAAGGAUCAGGAUUGGAGCCGCGUUUGUUCCCCACCUGCAGGGGGAAGAGAGCCAGGCUGGAUGGACUUACCUGCCCAGUGGAUGUGGCUGUGAACUGGAAGCUCCCCAGCAUCAUCCGCAGCAGCGACAGGAACUCCUCGUCCUCAUAGUCAAAGCGGUCGCCGAAGACGAUGGAGCUGAUGACGUUGGACACGGUCCGGCUCAGGAAAAAGGUGGGGUCGAUGAAGGCGCCUGGGGGACCAGGGAUGGGGGUGUUGAGAAGAGUCACCUGGACCGUCUGCAACGCUGAGCCCAGAGCAGGAGCAUGGUGGGUGUGGGGAGGGCUGCUCUCUCUCCUUGCUCCUGUCUCCUGUAUCCCAGCUGCCCGGCUCACCCUUCGUGGCCCUGAAGGACUCGAUGAGGAAGCCCGCCUCCUCCUGGAUGCGCUCCUCGAUGCCGCGCUUGCCGACGCCGAAGUCCCGCAGGGUGGUGAUGGAGAAGCGCCUCAGCUGCUUGGCACGCUCGCCGUUG